rnacentral:misc_RNA from 1 species
UCUCUGUCUUCGGUGCCUCUC